rnacentral:rRNA from 1 species
UACGGGGGGAGCAAGCGUUGUUCGGAUUUACUGGGCGUAAAGGGCGCGUAGGCGGCGCAACAAGUCACUUGUGAAAUCUCCGGGCUUAACUCGGAACGGUCAAGUGAUACUGUUGUGCUAGAGUGCGGAAGGGGCAACUGGAAUUCUCGGUGUAGCGGUGAAAUGCGUAGAUAUCGAGAGGAACACCUGCGGCGAAGGCGGGUUGCUGGGCCGACACUGACGCUGAUGCGCGAAAGCCAGGGGAGAGAAAAGG